rnacentral:rRNA from 1 species
ACUUAAAGAAUUUGGCGGUAUUUUAAUCUAUUCAGAGGAACUUGUUUUUUAAUCGAUAGUCCCCGUUAAUUUUUACUAAAUUUAUUUGUAUAUCGUUGUCGAAAGAUUAAAUUUUCUAGAAUUAUAAUUUUAAAAGAUGUCAAAUCAAGGUGCAGUUAAUAAUUUAGAAAAAAUGAGUUACAAUAAAUUUAUUUAGGAUAUAAUUGAAGGUGGAUUUGAAUGUAAAUU